GUCGACGUACUUCAUAGGAUCAUUUCUAUAGGUCACGUCCCUCUUUGACUCUUCAAAAGAGCCACUGAAUCCAACUUGGUUGAUGAGUGAGAUACCCUUAUGCCCUCAAAGUGAGAAUGAUCUUUAGCUUGUCCGUGACUCUUAGCAGUCCGGUCAUCUACAUUUUGUUUGCCUUUUAGUCUGACAAAGAUAUUUGGCUUCAUGUCAUAGUCUAUGUCUUGAAAGGAGCGAUGAUCUUGACCCUCUAUCUUGUGCUUUCUCGGAAGAAAAGGUUUAGGGUGGGCAUAAGUGGCAGUCUGACAAGU
rnacentral:snoRNA from 1 species